rnacentral:sRNA from 12 species
GCUUUCAACAUCCCCGUUCCGGACGCAAACGUCGCGGAACUGAAGGC